GAUGAACGCUAGCUACAGGCUUAACACAUGCAAGUCGAGGGGUAACGAGAGGAAAGCUUGCUUUCCUUGUCGACGACCGGCGCACGGGUGAGUAACGCGUAUCCAACCUGCCCCCAACUAGGGAAUAACCUUGCGAAAGUAAGACUAAUACCCUAUAAUUUCCUCAGAUGUCAUCUGACGAGGAAUAAAGAUUUAUCGGAUGUGGAUGGGGAUGCGUCUGAUUAGCUUGUUGGCGGGGUAACGGCCCAACAAGGCAACGAUCAGUAGGGGUUCUGAGAGGAAGGUACCCCACAUUGGAACUGAGACACGGUCCAAACUCCUACGGGAGGCAGCAGUGAGGAAUAUUGGUCAAUGGGCGGAAGCCUGAACCAGCCAAGUAGCGUGCAGGAUGACGGCCCUAUUGGUUGUAAACUGCUUUUAUACAGGAAUAAAGUUAGCCACGUGUGGUUAUUUGUAGGUACUGUAUGAAUAAGGACCGGCUAAUUCCGUGCCAGCCGCCGCUGUAA
rnacentral:rRNA from 1 species